GAUGGGAAAAGCUAAACUGAGAAACCUCGGGAGGAUGGAGCAUCCCGAAGAUCAGCCAGGGACAGUCCCAGAGCCCCGAGCUGUGACUCUGUUUAUGCUCAGUGUCUCCUGCUGGGUCAUCUACAGGAGACCGCACACCUCCAGGGCCCCCGUUGGGGCUGCUGGCUGGGCUCAGGACGGGGCUGGGGCCCAGGCGAGGUGGCCAUCGAGGAGGCGGGCACUUCGGAGCGGGAAGCCAGGGGCCCUCGGUGAACAAAGACUGGGUGGGAGGCGGAGGCGGCCUGUUCCUCUCCACCCCGCCCCCCAGCGCCUGCUGAGCCGAGACUACAGACAUCGAGGCAGGGGCGGAGGAGCAUGGCUGGGCCCCGCGCGGCGCGGCUGUCCCCGCUGCUGCAACUCGGCAGCCUGGCGCUGGUAGCGGGCAGGGCCCCCGAAGGCCCUCUGCUGUCCCCAACCCCGCCUGGACGUCUGCGUGUAGGGAGCUUGCAGUCCACCUGCCCUCCCCCGCCAGCCCCCUUUCCUAACUCAGGAGAGCAGGAUGAGGUGAGGUGAUAGCGGUGAAGCUAUCCUCAGGGAGACUCCCAGGCUUGCUGAUAUCCAUGGCUACCAGCAGCAGGCACCUGCCCACUCCUCAGUCACCUGCCCACUCCCUGUUGGGAGCCCCCAGAAACAGUGGCACCCCUUGGAGGAACGGCUGGGGUGGCUGGAGGCUGAGGUGCCCAAGCUCAGAGAGCAGGUACCAUAGAGGCAGGGCUGCAUGUUUGGGGUGGGGUGGACUUUUGCAUACUGGGAGGAGAAGAGAGGGUUGGGGGUCCCUGGGGACCCUAAAAUAGUUUCACUUCAAAAGCACACAGAGAAGAUCUCAUCUGAACAGUCUUUAACAUCCAUUCUCUCAUGAGUGAAGAAUCUCCAGAGUAUUUGUGGUGUGUGGAUUUCCGUGCCCUUCAUAAUGAAGCACCUGCCAGGCACGGGGUGAGGGUGGGGACUGCUGCCCUUUCUGCCCAAGGAUGGACCUGUGCUCCCUGAGAACCAUGUGAGACGGAUGCUGACAGAAGGAGACCGGCCUCUGCCGUGGAGUUGUCAAAUUCUCAUCCUGACUCCGUUUUUGCACCUCAUGAAUCCAUGAGACAUGGAAAGGCUGAGCUGUAGUCCCAUCUCUUCCCCAGAAUGAGGACCUGCAGGCCAGAGUGAGGCGGCUGGAGUCCUGUGAAUGCCGCCCUGCCUCUGUCCAGUGCUGGGGGCUUGGGCGCGCCUGGCCUGAGGGGUCUUGCUGGGAGCCCAAUGCCUGCACAGCCUGCAUCUGCCAGGACGGGGCAGCACGCUGUGGCCCUCGGCCCGAGCUGCCCCACUGCCAACGUUAGUGCCACCCAAUCUACCCACUGAGCCACUUCAGGGCCUGGAGAUGGUGUUGGGCCUGAGUGCCACACUGUCUCCUCCUCAGGCUGCAGCCACAAUGGUCAGGUCUGUGGUAAUGGGGAGACGUUCUCCCCAGACACCUGCACCUCCUGCCUCUGCCUGGUGAGUUCCCACGCCCUCCCUCCAGCUCCCCAUCACUAGGUGCUGGGACUGGAUAUUGUGUGAUGGGUUCUUGCCCCUGGUGGCCUUGGGCUGAUUCUCUGGGGGUCUGCUGUCUGAAGUGCAACCCCCCCCCCAAGCCUCAAGCCCCUUGAUUUUGCCUUGACAAAGAGUGGCAUGGGGGCCAGAGGAUGUAGUUACUAUCUUCUUUCCUCAAACCCUCUCCUGUGUGACGAGCGCUGUUGCCCUCACCCCACCUCAUCUGCUACCUCACAUUUCCACUGCCUGCUUUCUGUCACUUCCUCCAUGGCCUUUUCUCCUGGCCUUUUCUUUCCUACUCCUCCACUGAGAAAGCCCUGGGUUCUCUUCCUAGGAUCUCUCCACUCUGGGGAAGUUGCUGGCACCUGGAGAAGCGGGUUCCAAGGGGUCAAGGGCUUCAGGAAUGGUGGGGUGGAUGGGACAUCUCUUUUCUGCCCUUGGGCUGGGGUAGCAUGUAUGCUGAGCCAGCUCAUCCUCUGCUUCUGGACACAUUCCUGCCUGGGGUGAGUCUGGAGUUCGGAAGGCCCUGCAGUCACCCUAGCUGCUUCCACAGGAAGGGGCCAUCACCUGUACCCAGAAGCCAUGCCCAAGAGCACCCUGCCCUGAGCUGGGAGCAUGCUGCCCACACUGUGAACCAGGUCAGCAUGCUACAGGCCCUGCCCUCCCUCCUGGUUGUGCCCUGGGGGACCUGACAGAGAGAGAGAGCAGAGCUGAAGAAACCCUGUGAUGGUGCCUGGUGAGUGCUGAGCUGAGCUGGAGCCAGCAAAUGCUGACGCUGCCCUGGGAUGCAUCAAAGAUUAUCAGGACCCUGAGGAGCUUCUGGUCUAGUUGAGAAGAUAAAUUUACAGCUAAUCUAUCACAAGAUUUAAGAUCCAAUGAACAGAUUAGGAGAUGUAGAAGACAUGGGCCAGGGAUUUAGCCCAGUGGUUCUGUCGCCUGCCUCGCAAGCACAAGGACCCGAGUUCAAUCCCCGGUACCAAAAAAAAAAAAAAAAAAGAGAGAUUUAUAAGACAGUGCAUGCUUUCCCAGAGGAAGGAACAGGAGGGCAGGGGACACCCAUCUGAGCAGGUAGGCAGUUAGGAAGGCCUUUGUAGCCCAGGGGUCAUUUGCACUGGAUCUUCAAGGGAAGGUGGGAUUUCUCCAGGAGAAGGAGAACUUGAGGUCCCUCUGAAUAGGAACCAGGCAGGGAGAAAUGUAUUCCAAGAAUCAGUCCAGGAGGGCCAGUGGAAACAGGCUGUGAUAAGCCCUGCAGUUGGGCUUUCUUCUGUGGGCAGUAGGGAACUUUUGAAGGCUGAAGAGCCAGAGUGUGACAUAUUCAAAUAUAAUGUUUAGGAAUAUUCAGCUGGUGUGGGCUGGAUGCAGAGAGACCAGUUGGGGGCUUUUACAGUCCUUGUCUAGGCAUGGAGCCAGAGAUGGUAGGAGGCUGCAAAUAACAAAGUGUUUCUAAAGAAUGUGCAGGGAUUGGUGACUGGUUGGAUCCAUGGAGUAAUGGUGGCCUUUCAUUUAAAAGAAAGACACCCCUUUAAAGGCACUUUAGUCCAAUCUGUUGUAAAAUAAAUACAUCGAGGAGCCAGGUGUGGUGAUGCAUGCCCAUGAUCCCAGCACUCUGGAGGCUAAGGCAGGAGGAUUCCUGUACGUUUAAGGCCAGCCUGGGCUACAUAGUGAGUUCAAGGAUAGCCUUAACUACUUAGCAAGACCUUGUCUCAAAAAAUUAAGAAUAAAUAAAUAAAUACAUUGUUUCCAUCAGUUAGACACUUGACUGUCACCUGCUGGAAAGGUGUAGUAAAUAUAAAACUCUGAUAGCUGGGUCCUGAAUGGUGGCCCUGUGAUGUGGCACCCAGCCCUCUGAGUCCGGUUUUGCAGGCUGCCCUGAGGGCCACAGGUCAGGGGAAACGUGGCAUCCAGAGCCCUGUGUCACUUGCACCUGCCAGGUAAGAGAAUCAGGGCCUCGCCCCGGCUAUCACCUGCAUCCCUGCUGCCCCAGGCCUGAUCCUACCCAUCCUAAUCUGGAGGCCAGGCCAGGCUUCUGCCUCCACCCAGGUGUUGAGGCCUGGAGCCUGCUAGGCCAAAGGCCUGAAGAGUCCUCUGGCUCGGGCAGUGGGGAGGGAGGAGGCGGGGCUGAGUGUCUUGACCCACAGGCAGGGACCGUGCAGUGCCAGGGGCCCUCAUGCUCUGAGCUCAACUGUCUGGAGAGCUACACCCCACCCAGGGAGUGCUGCCCCAUCUGCCGGCCAGGCUGUGAGUAUGAGGGGCGGCUUCACGAAGAGGGGGCCAGCUUCCUGUCCAUCUCCAACCCUUGUCUCCAGUGCUCCUGCCUGGUGAGUCCUCUGCCACCACUGCCCAGGCCCCAGGCUGGGCCAUGCCAGCCACUCUUUUAGCCAUUUAUAAUAUGCCUUUUGAGAGCUGGUACCAGUGAGGCCCUCCCUCCAUCCCUGCCUGACACCUGCCCGCCCCAUACCUGCUGGGAGACCCGAGGGUGGCUACUGCUAUUGGUGCAUUACAGAGGAGCCUGGUUCGCUGUGUGCCCAUGAAGUGCCCACCCAGUCCCUGCCCCGAGCCAGUUCUGAGGCCUGGAGACUGCUGCCCAGCCUGCCAAGGUGAGAGCCCCUGACCCUUCCCUCAUGGAGCCCCUGCCAGACCCUCAUGCUAUUUCUCACCUCCACAGCCCACCGUACUGGCCUCUUGAUUUGGUUUGAUGGUGAUGGUGGGGAGUAAUGCCAGUCCAAGCCUGCUCUGGAGCUGCAAUGCCCAAGCUCAAAUUCUGCCAUUGCCACUUGGUGGUUGUGUGACUCUAAGUCACUCUGUGCCUCUGUUUCCGCAUUUUAAGGUGCACAUAGUGAUAUUCUAGAUCCCACAAUGCUGUGUAAUAUAUGACCAUUAUUACCUGCUUUUCGCACCCCAACACAGAAGGUGAGGGGAGUGACCUUCAGGGGUGACCACCAGAGGGCGACCCUGAGUCAUACACCAAUACUGUGAAACAAAUGUCACGGUCAGAAAUAAAAGCAGGGGAUAUUCCACUGCUGGGGAUCUUCCCCAAGGAUUAAAGGGAUCAUACCACAGUGAUAGAUGGGCGCCCAUGUUCAUAGCAGCACAGUUUGUGAUAGCUAAAACUUGGAAACAGCCCAAAUGCCCAUCAACUGGAGACUGGAUCAAGAAAAUGUGGGUUUUUUAUAAAAUGGAGUACUGCUCAGCCAUAAAGAAUGAGAAAUUAGAGACAUUUAUAGCUAAAUGGAUGCACAUUGAGGCCAUCCUCUUAAGUGAAAUAAAUAGGACACACAUAUGUAAAUACCGAAUAGUUUCUCUGGUGUGAGAAACUGAAAGUGUAAAUAAGGACUAAAUGUAUAAUAGGUAAUGUGAAAUAGGAAGAAAAGGGGCAGAGGGGAAGGAAGUGGGAGGGCUAGGGGAAAGGAUAGAAGGGAAUGGGAUUAAUAUGAGACAGUGGAAAAAUAGGAACAAAAUCUUUGUAAAUAGGGAGGAAUGGAGGGGUUGAAGGGAGGGCUGGGCAAGGGUGAAAAACAAGAACCAAGAGAGGCUAUGUAAAGGUGCAAAUUUCCAAUGAUGAAUGUCAUUAUGUUGCAUACCUAAAAUGUACCAAUGAUUAGAAUGAAUAAUCGAUAAUGUAAAAUAGGAAGAAAAGGUCCAAAGGGGUAGGGGUAGUGGGAGAGACAGGGGAAAGGAAAGAAGGGAAAGGAAAAACGAUGAGAAAUGGA
ensembl:lncRNA